GUUGAAUAUAUACGAAAAUUGAAUUUGAAAAGCUUGGGAGAAAGAGGGAGGAGGAGAGGGGGCGAAGGCGAACACCACCAACAAAGAACACACACAACACAACCCCUUCUCCCUUCUCUUAAUAAUUGCAAAGUUUUUUUUUUCUUUCUUUCGUUCUUCUGUGUCGGUGUUUGGAUCGAAUUGUCUUUGAUUCGAGAGUUGAACGCAGAGUCGGGCGCCGUUUGGAUCUGAAACCAGUGAAUUUGAGCUUAUUUUUUGUUGAAUUUGUAGCUGAUUAUUGUUGUUGUUAUUAUCAAUAAUCGGUGAGAGGAGUGAGUGAAAUUUUGAUUUUUUUUUUUUUAAAUUAUUGUUUUGAUGGGGGAAGGUGAAGCUGAGGGGAGUGAUGGCGCUCCCAAGAAUAUUGUGUCAAACGACGUCGUUGCGAAUGCCCUGUUGCCGUUCGAUGUUCCCGCCAAGAAGCUCGCGCGGCAGCUCGAUUUCACCGAUUUCGGUGGGAUGCCGGCGCCGCCGCAGCCGCCGGUGAUUUUGCCACUGCCGCCUUCUGCUUCUGUCAGGGUUGGGAAACCAGAAUCUCCUAAAUCGAGACCGAGGCCUGGCUUUGAAAUUAAAGAAGCUACCCCGAAGAAGCAGAAGCAGUGCAAUUGUAAACAUUCAAAAUGCCUGAAGCUAUAUUGUGAAUGUUUUGCUUCGGGAAUAUAUUGUGACGGCUGCAACUGUGUAAAUUGUUAUAACAAUGUGGAAAAUGAAGCUGCUAGACGAGAAGCAGUUGAAGCUACUUUAGAACGGAAUCCAAAUGCAUUUAGGCCAAAAAUAGCGAGUAGCCCUCAUGGAACACGUGAUAGCAGGGAGGAUGCUGGGGAAGUUUUGAUAUUGGGAAAGCAUAACAAAGGGUGCCAUUGUAAAAAAUCUGGGUGCCUCAAGAAGUACUGUGAGUGCUUCCAAGCCAACAUUCUUUGUUCUGAAAAUUGUAAAUGCAUGGAUUGCAAAAACUUUGAGGGAAGUGAAGAGAGACAGGCUUUGUUCCAUGGAGAUCAAAAUAACAACAUGGUGUAUAUUCAGCAGGCGGCCAAUGCUGCCAUAACUGGAGCUAUCGGUUCCUCUGGCUAUUCUUCACCACCAAUAUCAAAGAAAAGAAAAGGUCAAGAACUGUUAUUUGGGCCAACCGUCAAGGAUCCAUCAGUUGGCAGGCAGGGGCAACAGGCAAACAAUGUCAGAGUUCCUGCACCCUCCUCAUCCUUGUCACCUAUCCCAGGUGCUCGUGUUGGACCAGCAACAUUAGGUCCUUCAAAAUUAAUGUACAGGUCUCUUUUAGCAGACAUCAUACAACCACAGCACCUGAAGGAACUUUGCUCAGUUCUGGUGCUAGUAUCUGGACAAGCCGCUAAGAUGUUUACAGACCACAAAAAUUUCAUGGAUAAGCAUGCUGAAGAUCAGACAGAAACUUCUCGUGCUUCUUCAACUCAGGAGCAAUUACCAAGCCAAAAGGAGGCUAAUGUUGAGAAAGCUAUGGCUGAUGAUGAUUGUUCAAGUGCAAACCAGACAGAUAAUAUCAGCCCGAAUAAUUCUUGUUCAGAUGGUGCUGAUGUCCCAAAAGGGAGGCCAAUGUCUCCUGGAACUUUAGCAUUGAUGUGCGAUGAGCAAGAUACAAUGUUCAUGACUGCUGCCUCCACUGUCGGGUCAAGGGCACAUGCUUGCAACACAUCUUUGCAACCGCCUUAUGGACAAGUAAUGACAGAGGUCUAUGCAGAGCAAGAAAGGAUUGUAUUGACGAAAUUUAGAGAUUUUCUCAAUAGAGUUAUCACUAUGGGAGAAAUAAAUGAAACAAAGUGCUCUUCAUUAGCCAGAAGUGAAUUAGAGAGUCAAAAGGAUCCAAACAUCAAUUGUACUGGAAACGCCAGUACUGAGACACAGCAUCAGCAGGGAGCCACUAAUAACGGUGUUGCCAAAACGGCGGGCAACUCCAUUAAUUCUACAUCUUUGUUUCCUGGUGGUAGUCUUGUUUCUGAAAAUGGUGAAACUUAUCCGAAGGUUGAAGAAUAGAUAUGAAAGGAAUCUAACAUAGAUGAGCAGAGAUAACUCUGGAAGAAAAAUUGUUUGAAGGUAUUUCCAUGCCUUUAUGACAGCAUUUGUCUGCAGUUAGUUGCUGCAAGGUAGCAUUUUCAUCGGAUGGCAGGCUCAUGUUGAUGUUUUCAUCAAUUGUAAUCUUGAGACCACUGACAUAGGAUCCUUCAUCUGACAUAUUUGAGGAACAUUCAGUGCAAUUGAUGUUGCUUACAUAAUGUUUGGUUCAUUUUAUCUUCCUAUAUUUCUGGAAUAUCAUUUUUUGGUUUUUCCAGUCUGGAUGAUUUUCUUGUCAACUAAUAAUGCAUUAAAGUGCAUUAUACUGAGGAUUUAAUCCAUUUACUAGUUAACGUUUCCA